ACACACGGGGACACUAUGAUGAGGCCAGGUGAGCGCACAUUGGGACACUAUGAUGGGGCUAGGUGAAUGCACACUGGGACACUGUGAUGUGGCUAGGUGAGAGCACACUGGGGCACUAUGAUGGGGUUAGGUGAGCGCACACUGGGACACUAUGAUGAGGCUAGGUGAGCGAACACUGGGGCACUAUGAUGACGCCAGAUGACUGCACACUGGGGUACUAUGAUGAGUCUAGGUGAGUGCACACUGGGGCACUAUGAUGAGGCCAGGUGAGCGCAGACUGGGGCACUAUGAUGAGGCCAGGUGAGCGCACACUGGACACUGUAAUAAGGCCCGGUGAGCGUACACUGAGGCACUAUGAUGAGGCCAGGUGAGCGCACACUGGGGCACUAUGAUGAGGCCAGGUGAGCGCACACUGGGACACUAUGAUGAUGCCGGAUGAGCGCACACUGGGACACUAUGAUGAGGCCAGGUGAGCACACUCUGCGACACUAUGAUGAGGCCAGGUGAGGGCACACUGAGGCACUAUGAUGAGGCCGGGUGAGCGCACAGUGGGACACUAUGAUGAGGCCAGGUGAGCGCACACUGGGACACUAUGAUGAGGCCGGGUGAGCACACACUGGGACACUUUGAUGAGGCCAGGUGAGUGCAUACUGGGACCCUAUGAUGAGGCCAGGUGAGUGCACACUGGGACACUAUGAUGAGGCUAGGUGAGCGGACACUGGGACACUAUGAUGAGGCUAGGUGAGCGCACACUGAGGCACUAUGAUGAGGCCGGGUGAGCGCACACUGGGGCACUAUGAUGAUGCCGGGUGAGCGCACAGUGGGACACUAUGAUGAGGCUAGGUGAGUGCACACUGGGACACUAUGAUGAGGCCAGGUGAGUGCACACUGUGGCACUAUGAUGAGGCUAGUUGAGUUCACACUGGGGCAUUAUGAUGAAGCUAGGUGAGCGCACACUGUGACAGUAAGAUGAGGCCAGGUGAGCGCACACUGGGACAGUAAGAUGAGGCCAGGUGAGCGCACACUGGGACACUAUGAUGAGGCUAGGUGAGUGCACCCUGGGGCACUAUGAUGAGGCCGGGUGAGUGCACACUGCGACACUAUGGUGAGGCUAGGUGAGUGCACACUGCGGCACUAUGAUGAGGCCGGGUGAGCGUACACUGGGGCACUAUGAUGAGGCUAGCUGAGUGCACACUGGGGCGGUAUGAUGAGGCUCGGUGAGUGCACACUGGGACACUAUGAUGAGGCUAGGUGAGUGCACGCUGGGGCACUAUGAGGCUCGGUGAGUGCACACUGUGACACUAUGAUGAGGCUAGGUGAGUGGAUACUGCGGUACUAUGAUGAGGGCAGGUGAGUGCACACUGGGACAUGAUGAGGCUAGGUGAUUGCACACUGGGGCACUAUAAUGAGGUCAGAUCAACGCACACUGGGGCACUAUGUUGAGGCUAGGUGAGUGCACACUGGGAAACUAUGAUAAGGCUAGAUGAGUGUACACUGGGGCACUAUGAUGACGCUAGCUCAGUGCACACUGGGACACUAUGAUGAGGCCGGGUGAGUGCACACUGGGACACUAUGAUGAGGCCAGGUGAGCGCACACUGGGACACUAUGAUGAGGCUAGGUGAGGGGACACUAGGGCACUAUGUUGAGGCUAGGUGAGCGCACACUGGGACACUAUGAUGAGGCCGGUUGAGUGCACACUGGGGCACUAUGCUGAGGCUAGGUGAGUGCUCACUGGGGCACUAUGAUGAGGCCAGGUGAUUGCACACUGGGACACUAUGAUGAGGCCGUAUGCGUGCACACUGGAACACUAUGAUGAGGCUAGGUGAGCGCACACUGGAACACUAUGAUGAGGCUAGGUGAGCGCACACUGGGACACUAUGAUGAGGCUAGGUGAGGGGACACUAGGGCACUAUGUUGAGGCUAGGUGAGCGCACACUGGGACACUAUGAUGAGGCCGGUUGAGUGCACACUGGGGCACUAUGCUGAGGCUAGGUGAGUGCUCACUGGGGCACUAUGAUGAGGCCAGGUGAUUGCACACUGGGACACUAUGAUGAGGCCGUAUGCGUGCACACUGGAACACUAUGAUGAGGCUAGGUGAGCGCACACUGGAACACUAUGAUGAGGCUAGGUGAGCGCACACUGGGACACUAUGAUGAGGCUAGGUGAACACACACUGGGACACUAUAAUGAGGCUCGGUGUGUGCACACGGGGGCACUAUGAUGAGGCUAGGUGAGCGCACACUGGGACACUAUGAUGAGGCUAGGUGAGUGCACACUGGGGCACUAUGAUGAGGCUAGGUGAGUGCACACUGGGGCACUAUGAUGAGGCUAGGUGAGUGCACACUGGGGCACUAUGAUGAGGCUAGGUGAGUGCACACUGGGACACUAUGAUGAGGCCGGGUGAGUGCACACUGGGACCCUAUGAUGAGGCCGGGUGAGUGCACACUGGGACCCUAUGAUGAGGCCGGGUGAGUGCACACUGGGACACUAUGAUGAGGCUAGCUGAGUGCACACUGGGGCACUAUGAUGAGGCUAGGUGAGCGCACACUGGGACACUAUGAUGAGGCCGGGUGAGCGAACACUGGGACACUAUGAUGAGGCUAGGUGAGGGCACACUGGGGCACUAUGAUGAGGCCGGGUGAGCGCACACUGGGGCACUAUGAUGAGGCUAGGUGAGCGCACACUGGGAUACCAUGAUGAGGCCAGGUGAGUGUACACUGGGACACUAUGAUG
rnacentral:lncRNA from 1 species